rnacentral:lncRNA from 1 species
CUCCACAUUAUCAAAGUUUCAGGUAAGUAAAACAAAGGCAGAUAACUUUUCCUUUGUAUAGAGUUUGUUUUUUUUUUUUUUUCCUUUGAGGCCAAGUCUGGCUUAGCUGAGACCAUGAUAACUCACAAAGUUUUUAAGCAUCUUUGGUUGCAGUUUUAUCUUAUAGUCCCCCACAAAAUCUGUAUCAAAAUUUUUAAUUAUGCACUUGAGAGAAGUUGGUUUGGUAUUAGCAUUUCCCAUAACUAUUAGAUAUUCCCUUGUCCGGUGAUGCAAUGCAAGACAAAGGGUGGGGUGCCGGGGGUUCUGUUUCAGAAAACGGCCUUGUUUAUUUGCCUGGAGGGCUCUUUAAGCAUAAGCCCUCCUCCCUUUCUUUUGAUGUACAAAGGAGGCUACCCAGCUCUUCCCAUUCACUCUCCUAACCAAUUCUCUUUCACACACACAGUCACCUAAGAAGUUAAUACAUUCCCUCCCUGGGUCCCCUUCCAAAGACAAACUAGGGAGCAACCCAGGGGAUCUCACCAUUCAGACAGAUGAUUUUAUUCAUUUUCCUUCUUUCUGUUCAACUAUUGACGAGCCGGCCUCUGCGUCCUAGAAAGGGAACCCAGGAAAUCCUGGGGGCGCGCACCUUUUCCCUUCCAAGGAGGCAGACAGUCGCUUGCUCAGGUGGGACUCGGAUUGACACAGGGAGCGAAGCUUUCCAUGAGAGAAUUUAACCCCGUAAUCAUCCUUCUGCUCAGGGAAAAAAAACAAUUUUAAAAUUAGUUAGAAAGCAAUCCAGUGGGGUGGUGUUCUUGGAGCUGGAUGCUCCCAUCUUGUCCCUAGGAACAAAUUUAGUUUAACACUCAACAGAUGAGACACUGACAAGACAGACAGGCGCCACACAAAAGAAAAGCUUUGAUUCUACUACCCGGAGUCCUCAUCAGGGCCGGGGUCAGGGGAGGUUUCCCGGCUUGUCAGCCACAUCGGUCCUGACAAACAAGACAGUUGCAACCGCCAGCACAAAGCUUACCUCUGGAGGCUUUCAAAGGUCUGUGUCUGAGAAUCUCCUGCUGGAUCCCGCAACAGAGACUCUCGGCCGGAUUUACAGUUCCCGCCUGGGUAUCUCGCUGGGGCCUCCAAUAUGUAAGACCUAAAGUCUCACUUCCACUCCACGGAGCGUGAACAGCCAAAAGGCCUCCACGAUGCUGGGCCCUAACACCCAGCGAGGCUCCGGGAACACGACAGAGAACCAAGAAACCCAGGAAGGAACACACCAGCCUAGAUGGUAAAGAGACCUUUAUUAGUCUGGCCAGAUGGCACUCCCGGAGCCAGGUGGCUCAGAGAGGCAACUGCUCAGGGGCUGAGGUACUUUUUAUAAGGUUUUUCUAAACAAAGAGUCAGGGAAUUCACAGAACAAGACUGCAAACACAUUGCUUAUCUUAUGCAGGAAAUGUUCUAGGGUCACCUUUUGUCAAACCAUUUGCCCCUGGGUGGGCUGUUAGCCAAGGUAGCAAUUAGCAUAUGAAGAAGCACAGUCUGGCCUAUUAGCAUGGAGUCAUUUUAGCCUAUUCAAGUCUUACAGUCACCAUA